GGCGCGGUGGCGCAGUGGUUAGCAUUGCCGUUUCACAGCAAGAGGGCGGGUUCGAAACCGGCCUGGGGCC